GGCCUUGUAGUCUAGAGGUACGAUACUUGCUUUGGGUUUCCAGUUGCAAGUGGCCUGGGUUCGAAUCCCAGCAAGGCCC